UUCUUGACCAGACUACAGUUCACGGAGUCACAAAGAGUUGGACAUGACUUAGCGACCAAACAAUAACAGCUCCUUGAACACCUUCUCUCAGACCUCAAGGCCCACAAACAGGUGCUGCUGUUUCCACCACAGGGCAGAGUUCCUUCAUGACUUGGGCAAACCCAGCAGGGACACCGGUCAUGAGGCUCUGUCUCAGACUGUCCCACAUGACAGGCCCCCGGCGCUGAGCCUGGGGACAGGAAGCAGCUGGUCCACAGCAGGCAUGAGACCAGCUGUGGGUGAGGGGAAGGAGGCAGAAACCGGGCCAGAGAAGGGGAACCAAAGGUUGGAGGUGCAAGGUGAAACUAAAUGGAAAAGGAGUAAAGACACUGGAAAGUGAGUCGAUUAGAAACAGACAGAGGAGCGCAGGCUUGAGUGUAUCAGGUGAAGGCCUGUGGGCGAGCCCAUCUGCUGGGUGGGGGGCUUGCAGGACUAAUACAGCAUGGGCAGGGCGGGGGUACACUGGUCUGGGAACUGGGCGAGGUAUCCAUUGCUCACAGUGCAGGGUGCCAAGUUAAUGACUGAUAAACCCUAGGACCUGCAACCCAGAAUCAUGUAAACCAUGAGCCAGAGGAAACAGAAGUCAGAUCAUGGGAUUAAUGAUAGUUAAAACUGACUGAACAUUAACCCCAAGCCAGGCACAUUGAUAAGUGCUCUAUGUAAAUCAUUUAACCCCCUGAGAAUUAUUUAACCCCCUGUAAAUUAUUUACAGAGUACCCCCCACCCCAAGACUCCAUGUGGUGAAGAGCACGGGGUGAAUAGAAAUGUGAACUCCGAGACCAGAGACAAAGAAACUGAAGCACAGAGAUCUAAGUAACGUUGAAGUGAUGGGCCAGGGAAGUAAAGCCAGCCAAUGUUCCUACGGACGCGGUGUGUGUAACCAUUAUGCCUUGCUGCCUCACAUCAAGUCAGAGGAACAAGGUGAAGAGAGGGAGCCAAGGUGAGAGGCCCAGGAGAAGGCAGAACAGAGAAAGGACUCCUGGAGAGAGCUCUGAGCAGAUCCCAGGGUUGUUGGCAGGGGCUGAGGGUGGGAGAUGAGACAAGUGUGCUCUAAGAGCUGGGCACAGCCAGGACACACUGGAGACUGAACUUCUACAUGGUUCUGGCAGCCGAGAUUCAAUCCUCCUGUUGAAACGAGUUUUCUAGAUGGGACAUGUGGCCUACAUCCAAAAACCCCGGGGCUUUGCUGCCAAGUCAUCACUCUGGCAAGAACCACACCUGACUUUGCAGACCUGAAAAGUGACAACAGGAAAUCGUUAGUCCUGAACUUCCGUGGGGCCAGGUUGCAGAGGAGAGCAACAGUAACAGCUAAGACAUACUGGUAACAGCUAAGAUAUACUGAGUGAUGACUACAUGCAAGGUACCGUUUGAUGCACCGAGUGCUGUAACUGAGUCUUCACCACAACCCAAAGAAGUCCCAAUAGUAUCCCCAUCUUGUAGAUGACAACACAGAGAGGUCAAGUAACAUUCCUGAGGUGACACAGCAGGUGACGAUACUGAGGUUCAGAAAGAUGGAACAACUUGUGCAAGAUCACACAGCAAGUAAGAUGUGGAGUCAAGCUUCCAAUUCAAUCCCAUGUACCUCCAAAGCCUGUGGUCGACUGCUACGUAUUGAACCACCCAUUGCUUGAUGGACCUUUAUUUGCUAUUUAUUCACGCUGGGUGUUCCAUCCUGGUCUGUCAACCUCUCUACAUUUUCACUCCCACAGAGCUCCUGUUAAACUGAUGUCUUCCUGAUCUUUGUGUGUUUGAUUCACCAGCAUUUCACUGUGAUUCUUCAAGAGGGAGGAAGAGAGGCAACCAGACCAGUUACAUCGUGAUUUAGCUAAUCUUUGGCAGAAUCACGAAUCCAGUCCUCAAGAUGAAAAUUCUAUUUCCAGGAGAACAAAUCCUAAGUUUAAAAUUGUUUACCGAAAAAGUAAAAGAUGAUUUAGAUCAUGCUUCAAACAUUUAUGGUAUUACUAUUUCUCAGCUCUCCAGGAAUAAGAAGAACUUAAGUGCUUCUUUGGAAUCUGAUUCCAAAGUCUGGUUCUGCUUUCCUCACCCAAACACAACAAAAGUUAAAAUCCAACAGACAACCAUCUAAGGAAACUGUUAAACAUAUAUGAAAAAAUGUAUAUAAAAAGAUGUGCAUGAUCACGUGGUUUGUGACAGUGACGUGUAAGAAUUAAUGUUCAACAAUAAGUGAUUAAGUCAAUAGUACAGUAUAAGUAUGAUUUGAAAACUUGCAAAGUGACGAGUCAUUAAAGUUAUGUUGAUGAAGAAUAUAGUGGGGAAAAAACAAAGCUGUCACAGUGCUCAGUGAAAGAUGCAGACUUUAAAGUGUUGAUUAAAAAAAACAAUAGAUUAAAAAGACAUAAACUAAAA